UGGGGAAUUUUGGACAAUGGGGGCAACCCUGAUCCAGCAAUGCCGCGUGUGUGAAGAAGGCCUUCGGGUUGUAAAGCACUUUUGUCCGGGAAGAAAUCCCCUGCCCUAAUACGCGGGGGGAUGACGGUACCGGAAGAAUAAGCACCGGCUAACUACGUGCCAGCAGCCGCGGUAAUACGUAGGGUGCGAGCGUUAAUCGGAAUUACUGGGCGUAAAGCGUGCGCAGGCGGUGAUGUAAGACCGAUGUGAAAUCCCCGGGCUCAACCUGGGAACUGCAUUGGUGACUGCAUUGCUCGAGUAUGGCAGAGGGGGGUGGAAUUCCACGUGUAGCAGUGAAAUGCGUAGAGAUGUGGAGGAACACCGAUGGCGAAGGCAGCCCCCUGGGCCAAUACUGACGCUCAUGCACGAAAGCGUGGGGAGCAAACAGGAUUAGAUACCCUGGUAGUCCACGCCCUAAACGAUGUCAACUGGUUGUCGGGCCUUCAUUGGCUUGGUAACGUAGCUAACGCGUGAAGUUGACCGCCUGGGGGAGUACGGUCGCAAGAUUAAAACUCAAAUGAAUUGACGGGGUCAUAGCUGUUUCCU
rnacentral:rRNA from 1 species